rnacentral:rRNA from 1 species
AUUGAACGCUGGCGGCAGGCCUAACACAUGCAAGUCGGACGGUAGCACAGAGGAGCUUGCUCCUCGGGUGACGAGUGGCGGACGGGUGAGUAAUGUCUGGGGAUCUGCCCGAUAGAGGGGGAUAACCACUGGAAACGGUGGCUAAUACCGCAUAACGUCGCAAGACCAAAGAGGGGGACCUUCGGGCCUCCCACUAUCGGAUGAACCCAGAUGGGAUUAGCUAGUAGGCGGGGUAAUGGCCCACCUAGGCGACGAUCCCUAGCUGGUCUGAGAGGAUGACCUGCCACACUGGAACUGAGACACGGUCCAGACUCCUACGGGAGGCAGCAGUGGGGAAUAUUGCACAAUGGGCGCAAGCCUGAUGCAGCCAUGCCGCGUGUAUGAAGAAGGCCUUCGGGUUGUAAAGUACUUUCAGCGGGGAGGAAGGCGAUGUGGUUAAUAACCUUGUCGAUUGACGUUACCCGCAGAAGAAGCACCGGCUAACUCCGUGCCAGCAGCCGCCGCCG